UACGCAGGGAGCAAGCGUUGUCCGGAAUCAUUGGGCGUAAAGCGCGCGUAGGUGGCCCGGUAAGUCCGCUCUGAAAGUCACAGGCUCAACCUGUGAAAGCGGGUGGAUACUGCCGGGCUAGAGUCCGGAAGAGGCGAGUGGAAUUCCUGGUGUAGCGGUGGAAUGCGCAGAUAUCAGGAGGAACACCAACGGCGAAGGCAGCUCGCUGGGACGGUACUGACACUGAGGCGCGAAAGCGUGGGGAGCGAACAGG
rnacentral:rRNA from 1 species